UCUUUGAAUCAUGAUUGAAUUAGAGUCUGAUCAUAGACUGAACAUGAGGAUGUUGGUGAAAUAACCUAUGGAUAAUGCAAGGAUACUCACCCAGGUGCCUUACAGAGGUCUGGCUGUGCCAUCUCUGGAAUUUAAUUUGAAAUCUAAACUUUACCUAGAAUUUUUACAGUAAUGUUAAUGGUUACUAUAAGCACAAGCUAAUUUCACUGACAGCAAGAAGUUUGGCUUCUCUAUUUAUUUCCUUUUAUCUAAUGCAAAGUACUUUUUGAAAUAAUCUUAGAAAUUCCUUGUGUGAAGUAGCUCCUGGCAAAGAUAAAACAAAGGUGCAGUUCUGUUACAUUUAACAGGCAGAGAAAUGCUUUAUGAAUAUACAGAAAUGAUUAAUGAAUUUCUUAUAUUUUAUUUUAUUUUAAACGUGUCUAAUUAUGAGGAGAAAGAACAGACUGACACUUUUUUCUUUAUAUUAAGUCAAAAUUUAUAUUAAGUUUUAAAGAUUCCUUUUCCAGUUCCAGUGGAACUGGCUUUAAAAUGACCUUUUUAAUUCCUUGAGUUUAAUUGUUGUUCUAUGAAUAUUUGAAUUUAAUCUCAGCUGGAGAGGCUGAGGUCCAGGACAGUGGUGAUACAGCAGAGAUGACCCUGAAAGAGAGGGAAAAACCAGCACAGGAGCUUUAACUCCUUUCACGAAUUCAGACAGAUUUGCAAAUAAUUAUUUUCAUCAUCUUCCUGCUGCAUCCAAAUCUGUCAGAUCAACCUCUUCUCAGUUUGUGUGGAAUCACAUCGUUCCUGCUCCGAGCUGAAGCCUCAUUAGCCUUCACAAAACAAUAUCAACAGGAAAUGUCUGGGGUGAUGGGACUGGAGAGGUGUAAAACUGCUGGUGGAAGCACAGACACCUGAUAAGCCAUUAAUGAGAUCAUUAAAGACGGGCAAAAAUUCAAUUUCAUCUGAAAAUACGAGACUUGUAAAAUGCUGAAAAAUACAUCAAAAAGCUGUUACAUAGCUAAAAAUGCUCAGGGAGUUUUGCAUCCUAAUGUGGGGCAUUGACUGACAUGCAAGUGAAGGAAAAACAGCAAUAUUAAAUCAAAUGGAAUGGCAGGCUGCAACUUCUCCCAUCCGUGGGAAUAUUUCAUGUGGGAAUUGUACAAGUAUUUCGGUGGAGGUGCACAAAAAAUCCCCUUAGGGAGACAGAGGUGCAGAGGCUGCAGGUUUGCUUAUGCCCAAAGCUACAGCAAGAGUGAAAAUGCAGCCUUGGAAAAGGAAUUCCUCAAUGGGAAUAAUAUUUUUGGAAUUAUUGCUGAAAGUGUUCGAGGCCAGGUUGGACGAGGCUUGGUCUGUGGAAGGUCCUGUGGCAGGGGUGGGACUGGGUGGGCUUUAAGUUCCUUCAAACCCAAACUGUUCUGGGAUUUAUGACAAGAUUUUAUGAAGUUCUUAGGAAAUUUAUCAGGUUUAAAUGAUCUGGAGUGUGACAAAGGGAUCUCUAAUGCAAAAGCUUUAGAUUAAUGAAUUUCUCUUACAGAAUCAAGGAAAAAAUUAGGUUUGAAGAGACCUUAAAGCUCCUCUCAUUCCAAGCCGGUGCCGUGGGCGACUGACGGUGCUCGGUGUGGAAUUCCAGCUGGGUGGAAGGUGGGAAUCAUCUCCUGAGCAGCUCAUUCUCAUCCCAAGGGACUCUGCUCAGGCUCUGGAUCCAUCAGCCCCCGUUCGAUGCCCGCCUUGUCCAUAAUCUCUUGGCAGACUCCUGCAGCUAAUCUUCCCAUUGAUUUUGGCUUAGGAACACCUGGAGCUGUUCAAUCCCUAAUAAAAUCUGAGGAGCUCACUUUUCGAGCCAUUUAACUCAUUUGGAGGCAGAGCUUAUUUAUUUUCUGAGGAGCAAUCGAAGAGCUCUGCUCCUUCCUGAGUAAAGGCAUCGGACGGACGAGUGAAAACCGAGCCAAAAUCCAUCCAACCCCACCGAGCUCCAGCCCUGCAUUUGGAAUCUUUUGGGCUACUGUGCCUCUGCCUGGUUUUUUAACUCCUUUUCCCUCUCUUCUGGUUUAUUUUCACGGUUUAAAUUUGGAGAAAAAACUCCAUCUCUCUUCCUGACCCGGUGUUUCAGGACGCUGCCAUGAUCAGUAGUGCACCACAAAUCCCAAAGGAUCCAGGUGGGAAGGAAUGCCAAACUUUCUGAUUGCCUUUCCCAUUGUUUUUUGGGUUUCCCCUUUUAUUAUUUCCUCCACCCUACUCCAGGUCCAGAUGUUUUGUCCAGGACUCCUGGCAGAUUUGCUGAGGGGAAGCAACAGGUGCAAAUUUUGGGUGUGUGCAGAUGGGGUCACUCUCCUGUAUCCCAUGCCAGAUUCCCUGGAAUCCUGCUCAGUUCUUCAGGAAAGACAGAAAUAACCAAACAACAAAGGCAGUUCAACAGGAAAAAAUUCAAUGAACUUUUGUCUGGUUAAUAAUUAUUACUGGAAUGGGGAGAAGGCUAAGGUCUGGAAAUGGAAAAAACAUGGGCAGAGUCCACAUUUCCAGAUAUUUAUUUACCUUUAUUUAUGUUAUUUACCUUUAAAUAGUGCCAGUAUUACAGUAAAAAUAAUGUUUUCUUUAAUUGUGAGUCCUUUGCAGAAAGCUCCUAAUAUCUCAUUGCAUAAUUGAUAAGCCCAAAUCUCUGUCAGAUAAUGUCUCACUUUUCUAUUUAUUUAAAUGAUGAAAGAUGGAUUUUUAUGACUAAGAUGAUUUAAUGACUUUUUCUUUUGCGUUUUCUUAACCAGGAUGACAUUUAGACAAGGGAAAGGAUAGAAAAAAGUCAGACCAGCCAUCAAUAAAUGGUUUUAUUGGUUAAAUUUUAAUGUUAUUUUUAAGCAAAUAAUGAAUUACUUUGACUAAUAACUGCAGAGCCAGACAUGAUUCAUUCCAUAAUUAGCUUGACAGUCACCAUCAAUCCUGUAGGUUUGUUCAGCUGAUUAUAAAACCUUGUCUCCUUUUCCCACAUAACAUCUUCCCAAGUUGCCUCCCAUGGAACAGGAGGUUCCUGAGGAAUCUCUGAGCAAAUCUUUGGCAAUUCCAGUUCUCCAGCCACUGGGGGCAAGCACCCAGCCCUGAGGUUGAGCCUGGAGCCAAAACGUGGGGAAUAUUGAGAAUAUUGACAGUGUGGGAGAGCUUUCAGCCUGGAUCAGGGCUGGUUUUGUAGGAGAAUUAAACCUGGAAGCUUCAGUUGGAAAUCAGUCUCUCCUGGAGAACCGAGCCCAACCAAAGCACCAGCAGUGGUUGGGGCAGCAGCUCUGGGGGGCUGAGGUGACACCACACAGCCUUUAAGCACAGGUUUGACAAGAAAUUGGAUGAGAAGUUUUGACGUGUUCUAGGUCAGACAGGCGGGAGAUUCCUCAGAGGAAGAAUCCAAAUGGAGCAGCUUUCCCACCUUUCAGCAAAACACCUCAGUACUGGCAAGAUUUGGAGCACUUUGUGGAAGCAAUAAUUGGCCUGGAAAUACACCUGGCAGGCUUCCCCAGGAAGGAGCAGGAGUUUCACUGCCUGAGGUCUUCCAUGAACUGCUAAAACCCAUGGAAGGUGGUAGCAGGACUGCCAUGUCCUUCCAGGAAUGCUCUCCAGCCUCCCUGGAGCUUCGUGGGAUCUGCUGGAAGCGAUUUACAAAGGUCCCAAAGUGUCCCUGGAAGGAAUGUCCUGGAGAAGGUUUGGAAAUCUGGUCAGUGCCUCAUGAUCUAAAUCCCAGCAUUGCUGUGUCAGCCAGCCAGGACAAACAUUGCACCAGGGAAAACAUUGGACUGUGUGCUCAAAGCUGUGGAAGGAGCUGGCAAAACCCAGACCUGCAGCUUCAGCCAAAGAGGGACCCAACCAAAUCCUGUUGUGGUCAUGCAUCCUAUCCCAGUGUCCUCUCUCCAGAAUCCUGGAAUUGUUCAGGGGACAAGUGCUAAAAGCAACAAAUAAAUAACUGCACACAACUCCACAAACCUCAUCCUCAAACGUAGAACACGUGGAGGACGUAAUUUGGGACAGUGUGGGAAGGGACAGGUUCUUGGUGGAGAUCUCCAGAGACAAGCAACAAACCUUUCCUGACUGUGGCCAGGAACACCUUGGUGUUCCUCGCUUUCUUCCAGGUCAAAAUGACUUUAAUUUGCAAUUCACUGAAUCAUCUGCAGGGUCUGGGAGCAGUCUGUGUGCAGGAAGGACGUGCCAUGGGAGGGAGGAAGAAAAUCCUGGGUGUUAUUGCGCAGUGUUUACAGCUCCUGACAGGAUGGCUUUUAGGAAUGAAGGUUUCGACGUGGCUUAGCACACGCACGCUGUAAUUUGUCUGUCAGCUCUCCGAAAGUUCAUUGGCAUUGUCAAGUCGUGUUUAACUCAGUGGGGAAAUAUGGAUUUCAUCCCUGGUGAUUUCAUGGAGCACUUUGAUAGCCUGGAGGUUUCCCAUUACAACCACGACCUCUCGUCUCCUCCCCACCUCCUCGGGAAUUACUGCACCUCUUGGUAGGACUUCAGCAUGCAAAGCACCCAAAAUGAGUCAGGAAUGAUUCUGUCAAACUGUGGGUCCUGCCUGAGAGGAUUAAAUGUCUGAUUGUUCAGGAAUACCUGCAGGUCUGGAACCUCUCUGGAGGUGAGUAGGGGUCAUAAAACCAAAAGAAGGGCAUGGACAAAAAUCAGGGUUUUCCUUGGCAGGAGAUGGGACGUGCCAAAUAUAGCAGAGAACUCCACUUGCUGUGCUGGGGCAUGUCCAGAGAUGUAUGACAGGGAUAUUCUGGCUCUUUUCUUCCCCUUCUCAUUUUUAAAGAAGAAUAGGAAACUCUUUGCAGCACUGCACCUGCUGGGCUUGGCCCAAUAUCAACAGAAAAUCUCCAGAUCCAUUGAGGAGCCCAGGCCAGAGGUGCCUCUGCCUCUCCACAGCUAUUGCAGGCUUCAGAUGGAGACCAAUAAACCUUCUGCAUCUGGAGAACAUUUAAUUUUCCAUGCUCAGCCUUUUAGUUAAAGGUGCUUCCAGACCACAUUAACAGAAAUAAAAGCUGACAGAUUAAAAGGAACUCUGUUCAUUUUGGAGGUGUGCUCUGAGCUAAAAUAAUUCCCGGUGCUGAUCCUCCACUGUUCAAACCUGAGCUGUGCAAAGCACUCUCUGUGUGGCUUUGGAUAGGUAAAUAUUCCACAUAAAAAUAAGAUUGUUUAUAUCAAAACAGUUUUUAUUAUUUCUUUUCCAUUCUUUUGCCAUGCUGUUUUUUUUUAAAUCUGAUUUCAUGUGCACAUACAUUAUUUUUAUGAUGUUGUUUUACCUGGUGAGUGAAAAGGCAAUUUUUAGAAAUUAAACUUAGUGCUAACAAAAAACCUGCAUUUCUUUGUGGUACAAAUGAGCAUAAUUACAGUAAAAUACUGCUUUUAAGAGUGUUCAGCUGCUGCCAGCGUGCCUGACACACAGCAGAACUGGAUACAUGUUCUGCUCCUGGAAAAACAGACAGGAGACGUGGAUUCUGUUGGGUACAACUUGAAGACACCUUUCAACCAUCAGAAAACAACUUUUAAUUAUCAGAAGCCAACUUUUAACCCUCAGAAGCCAACUAUUAACCAUCAGAGGUCAAAGGGCAUGAUGCUGACAGUGAUUUUUAAGCUGAAGCUGGGUUAAUUUGGAGGAGGGGAAGAAUGGAGAAAUACUUUCAGUUCCUGGAAAAACAGACAGGAGAGGCGGAAUCUGCUGGGUACAAUUUGAAGACAACUUUCAACCAUCAGAAAACAACUUUUAAUUAUCAGAAGCCAACUUUUAACCCUCAGAAGCCAACUUUUAGCCAUCAGAAGCCAACUUUUCGCUAUCAGAAGCCAACUUUUAACCCUCAGAAGCUAACUUUUAGCCAUCAGAAGCCAACUUUUAGCCAUCAGAAGCCAACUUUUAACCCUCAGAAGUGACAGGGCACCAUGCUGACACCGAUUUUCAAUCUGAAGCUAAGUUGGAGGAGGGGAAGAAUGGAGAUGAUUUUGCUGCUGGCUGCAGAGAACUGGCUGUUUGUUAAACUCCAAGGGUAGAUCAUUCCCAGGUGUUUUCUGCCUUGCUGUUUGGCCCAGGCAGAGCUGGCUGUGCAGUAUGGGAUGUGCCAGGCUGGAUCACGGCUCAGUCUCCAGCGCUGCUCAUCUGGAACACCGCGUGCUCUUGAUGAUGAUCACUGAGAUGAUCUCCUGCAGGUUUGAGGGGAUCCCACCCUGACAAGCUGUCACAGCAGCCCUGAGGACAGGGAGGAGAGCUGUGUGAGGAUGUGACAGACACGAGGACUCCUCCUGAAAGCCCUCAGGGCAGGACCAGCUGCCGCAGGUGGAACGCUGGAGUUGGAUAUUUCCUCCCAGGCUUCUCCAGAGCCUCAGCAGAGCUUUGCCAGGAUGUGAAGAAUGUUUGUUCAUCUCCACUUUGUUGUUCCUCUCUCACUCCAAUCCCUUUCCAGAAUUCAAGAGUGGAAAGAACCCUGAGCAAGUCAUAAUAAUAAUUCCAUGGCUGUCUUGGUAAUGCUUCCAUAAUUAACAUUUGUCCUUACAGAUACAAUAAUUCCCUGUAAUGCAGACAUAAAUAUUCCAUUUUAAAUAGGCACCUGAAUUCUGGAGAUGAGUGGUGUAAACUUUAAUUAUAUUUCACAAGUGCAUUUCCCUCUUAAUCCCAUAUUUUUCAUUAGACACAAAAUAACAUUUCUGCUCAUUUUGGAUAGGUUGUUUUUUUUUCCCUUUGCUUUGGUCUGUUUAAAUACAAAAAAAUGUGAACAAGUAAAGGAAAGCCUGUUGACUUAGACAAAUUAAAUAUGUACAGAGUAAUUCAUACAGAAAGUUUAAUUUUUUUCCCUUUGUCUCAAUAAAGAUAUGAUAAUUUUCUGAAUCAAAGUCUUAAGCUUCAUAUUGCUACCAUCUCUUCAGGAAAACAAAUACUAGAUUCAUUUGAAAGUUAUUAUUUAACAUAUUACAAAGAUUAAUCUCUCAGUUGUUAUUGAAAGCUGAUGUUGAGUUUCGGUAAUUCAAAGAAAUAUAAAUACAAUUGAGGGUCUCUGUUGAUGGAAUGUAGGCUUUGCUUUCCAACCAGGAUUUACCUGCUGAUCUCAUUUUUCCAUGUAGGAAACCAGAGCUGAGUUUGGGCAGAAGUGGAACUUGAGUUUUACUCUGAAGGUGCAUCCCUGUGAGUAGAAACAUUAAACUGGCUCAUGGAAUUCAUACAAGGACCUGGAGUGCCAGGACACAGGGAGUGGAUUCCCACUGCCAGGGGGCAGGAAUAAAUGGGAUAUUGGGAAGGAAUUCCUCCCUGGGAGGGU